CAGGAAGUUAACUACGGCCUUAUUUCGUUUUCAUGUUCUUAUCAUUUUCAAGUCUCUUUUCGCAAUGAAAGUCAGUUUGGGCAGGCCGGUGAAGUGCAGAUACUACGGAAAGACAUGCUAAUUUCAAACUUAAAACAUGGCGAUUUCGGACAGGAUUGAAGCUGCAUUUACCCUCUCGCCAGGGACAAUAUACAACUAGAAAUGGAGCGGCAGAUACCGACGCGUAUCCCCACGCCGCAUGUUUGACCCAGGGGACACCCCAGGGAUGCGCUUACAAACGUCCAAAUUUACAAAGAGUUUGGUAUAUCCAACAACCCCAAUUCCAGUGGCUGUCAACGUCAGCAUCGAGGAUUGUAAUAGCAACUGUUGGUAUUACAGCAACAGCUCAUCAACCCGGCAACACGAGAAGGUGGACAUACAGGCGUUUCUCUAUAUAGUGGUUGUUAUCCUCUUCUACGCCAGCAGUAUUGUCCUCCUGCUGAUCAAGUCAUGAGGAAUGAUGACGAGGAGGUCAACCUCAAAUAUCAGUAUUCGGAGUUCGUCAAGCGUGAACGGUUUCAGUCUGCGCAGUACAAGAACAUGCUAGCCCUCCAGAGGACCCAAGCAGUGUUGAAAAACAUGGCCCCAGAGUUGCUUACACAUAUUGGUAACUACCCAAUGAUCAUCGUUAGCGACUUCGAUAGAGAGGUGACCAUGCCGAUUGAUCGCAGUGACAUCAGUCAUCGUUACUCAUGUCUAUCUUCAUUAAAGAGCGUAAGCACCAUUGUUCUGAAUGAAAACAGUGAAGGCAAUCUUUCAAGAGCGUGUUUGGAUAAUGAUAACGAUAUUGAGAGUGAAGCUGGGUACAACACAUGCACUAGCUCCCCGACCAAUCAAAGCUUAAACAGUGCUGUAUGGCAUGUAGGUAUGAAUCCCUCUGUGUACUUCGAUGCAGUGGAGAGGGGGUAUAGACCAAUAUUGAUUGCACAGUCGUAUCGGCCGACUCCUGGAAGACCAAGGUGCUCAAGUGUUUAGUACAUUUGUUUCUACUGCAGUACAUUGUUUAUCAUAAGUUUUUUUCUAUGAAAACUGGGCUUAAUAAAUGGGCGUAAAGCAUCAUUAGCCUAUGUGUUCCAUUUUUAUGGAGUUUUUCAUCUAAAGGAAGUCUCUUCUAAACAAACAUCCUGUUUAGUCGUCCCUGAUAAGCAUGUGCAGACUGCACCGGCUAAUCUGGGACAAUACUUUACGCACAUGAAUUUAGGCCAGUUCUUAUAGAACAAGGCUUAUGUACUUUUCUACCAGUGCUGUAACGUCUAUCCAAUUCUUUUUUUUUUUUGAUUUGCAGGCAAAAAUCAAUCUUUAACUUUAUUGACUUGCAUUUUCACUUUGAAUUUUUGUUUUUCUCACUUUUGCUUUCAGUUUCAGCACACAGAUUUUGCAGUCUGUGACUAGUUUGAUUUUUCUGAUUUAUCUGUGGUUUUGUCAGUGCACAUGUCUCGGACCAAAUAUAGUGGAAGUGGUAUUAUUUCUUAAGAAAUACUUACAUACUUGUCAAUAAAUUAUACUAUUUGGUAUCAAAAUUGUUUUAAGUUAAACUUUGCCUGUGGACAAAACGAGAGCUUUCUAACAAUUCUUCAGUAUUGAUUGUAUAAUUAAUAGUUUCUGUCAGAAACUAAACAUAAUGACCCAGAAAACUGACAUGAUGUUCCCAUUGAAUAUAAGUAGUAAAUUAAAGAGGUAUAGUACGCUAAACUUGUACCAGAACUUUAUAAAAGUAAACACUUGCAUACAUAUAGCAAGCCACUUAAAACUGAUUUGUUUACGUACAGAAGGGUCUUUUUUCUGCUGAAAAUGAAGGUCAAAGUUUUUUCCCUUGAGAAGUUUCCACAAAUAAUGAACAUGAAACUGUGGAAUCUUAAAAACAAAACGAGCAAUAAAGCUGCUUAAAUGUUGCCUUGGUCAAUGAUAUAUUUCACAUUGCCAACGGAUAUGUUUUUUUCAUUAUUACUUGUUAAACACAAAAUUUAGUAUACAUUCCAGACAAAAGUGCAUACAGAUAUUUUUUAUAACUCUUACUAAAGCAAUCUUUCUUCUUUAAUGAGGAUCUCUAUUUGGAAAACCAUGAAAAAAAAAACAAUUUUGAUGCAUUACCAUUCUAUUUUCUACAG